rfam:Triticum aestivum genome assembly, contig: Triticum_aestivum_CS42_TGACv1_scaffold_049917_1BS
UAUCUACUCCCUCCGUCCGAAAAUACUUGUCAUCAAAAUGAAUAAAAGGAAAUGUAUCUAGAUGUAUUUUGGUUCUAGAUACAUCCCUUUUUGUCCAUUUUGAGGACAAGUUUUUCCGGACGGAGGGAGUAUGUG